AUCCAGAUGACGAGUCCCAAGUAGGACGAAAUGCGCCUACUGGAU
rnacentral:hammerhead_ribozyme from 1 species